CGAAGGAGCUCCCCAAUCCUGGCCUCCCUCCUCGCUCCCCAAUCCCCAUCCCUCUUUUCCCCAAAUCGCCAGAGGUGAGAGAAUCUAGAUCACCGACCCCUCUCCUCCUCUCAAUGGUCGCCGCCGUCGACUUUUCGCGCCGCCAGCGGACGGCGACCCCGAGCAGCCGCCGUCGCGCCUCAGCAGCCCACGGAAGCGCGCGGCGGCGGCCGCGCCCGCAUCGAAGAAGCCGCCGCUCGUUCGCGUUUCUUUUGUCAUUUCAUUUUCCAGAUAUUUUGGUGGUUCGGUGAAAACCCUAUCCCGAAUCCCCUUCCGUCGCUCCGCGCCUCCUCCAUCGCUGCUCUCGACCUCUCGCAGCCGCCAACCGCGCCCUGCAGCGGCAGCAGCAGGUUGACCGCCCGACGCGGCGGCGGCGGCGGUAGCACGGCGGAGGGGGAACGGCCGGCUUCAGCGCGAUGUCGCAAGGCGAGCUUCCAGAGCAGCACGGACGGCCGCUCGUCCUCCCGGUCGCCGUGGUCCCCGUGAGCGGGUCCCGCCAACGGGAAUCAAUUCUCGGCGGGGCGGUGAGCCGAUAAAAGCGGGGCGGCGGCGUCUCUCGACGGCUGAAGGUGAGGUGAGGAAAAGUAAGUUACGGAGUAGAAAAGUCUGGGCUACUUCCCAUUCCCCCUUUGCCGUCCAUCUCCUUCCUUUGUUUUGGUGGUCAGCAUUUUCCUUCCAUGCCCUCUCCCCUGAUGUGGGUUGGCCGCCUGCCGUUCUUGCGCGGGUGAUGCUGACGUUGAAAGCCGGGUUCAAGGAUUUAGGAGGGUUGGAUGCGAGCGCCCAUCUCCUUGGAUAUUGGUGCAGCAGAUGUACAUCCAUCUCUCUGUGCUGCAAAGUUACUAUUGCGGGCAUCUGUUGUAAGAGUUGACACUUGACAGGUUGUUCGGAGUUCUGUGCCCGGCUAAAGAAGCUACAGAAUCAGCUUUUAAGGAUGGAAAACAGCUAUUGAUAUGAUGCCAUUGGCCAGCAUGCAGUUCCAGUACCUUAUGGUUGAGGAAAAGUUAUAUAGAGAUCUAUCCAGAUAUGAUGCCACUGCAAAUGCUCAUGUGCAAAAUUUACUCUGUUUCGCAUUGCACUAUCAUCAUUGUCACUCCAUGAGGUACCAGAGUAUUAGUUGAGGAAAGUGGGGUUUGGAACUCUAGCAGAGCAACUGAAGAAAAGUGGUGUUUCAGCUUUAGUUGUAUUCUACAAGAGUUUGGGUGGGUAAAUUUGGCUUUCCUUUCUUGUCCCUGUGAAGCCCCUUCGAUGCCACGUCUUCCAUUAUCUGCCAGCGCAACCUCGGGCUCCCCUCGUUGCCUGUGGUAAGUAAUCUCUUUCUUUAUGACGAUGCAGGUUGUCUGUUUUUUCAGUUUUUAGUUUUGCUCCAGGUUGUCCUCUCAAUGCUUCCCUUGGUUGCUCUUAGGCGAGGCCUUCACGCCCCAAGUAUUAUGUGUUCUCUCACUCCAGCCUUUUUGUUUGCUCAAGUAAACUUUGUCUUUCAUUUCCUUGUCGUGCGAGACUUCAUGGCCUUUCAUUCUCCGCUCAUAUUUUUUCCUCCUGUUCCUUCUACAGCCAGGUCUGCAUUUUUCGCUCAUCUUUUGUUCUUUAUUCAACAUUCUUCUGUAAAUUUUCCCCAGUUCUGAAUGUUACUCCAUGGUUAGCUUAACGUUUCUUCACCAUUAUGUAUGAGCAUGCCCAUUAUCCUCUUAAACCUUGCUAAACUACCCACCCACCCAACAGCUUUUAGUGACGGGCGAACCCAGAUCGUUAUAUUUACCUCUUGAUUGUUUCUUCAUCAUUUGUUUCUAUUUCGUUGGUUUAUCUGUUCAUUUUUUUGUAAAGUGGCUUACCACUGUGACCUGUUUUUAUUACCAGAGUAGCUGAUCUUCCUCUCGACUGAAAUUAUUCCUUUCGUAUAUGCCGGUUUUUAGUUAUAUAUGUAUAGUUGUGUUUAAACAUAAAGGAAUGACAAGAAGCUAUAUAUUUUCCUUGGUUGUAGUCAUUAUUCUACAUGGUGCAGAAUGCCACCGCUGCUCAGGGUCACGCGAGUCAUUCUGGGGUAUGCACAACAGUGCUGGUCAUCGAUGUGCUAUAUCACAGAUCCUCCUCUUGCAUUUGUUAAACUGGCUCACGGUGUCCAUAGCCUUAUUAAACAUGCAGAAAUUACAUAUUGGAAAUUAAGUAAGGAUCAUGUACUUUUUUAUAUAUCUAUAAUUGAUUGGGUGAACUUGUUUUUCUUUGUCUCUGCUUGUCUGUAUAAUUUGUAAAUAGUAACUUUUGUUAGCAUUUGAGGAAUUCACAUUUAUAUUUUAUACCUGCAUUACUUGCCAAUUGCCAGUGUACAAUAGAUUAGUUCAGAACUUGGGUCAUAUUCAGUUCCAAUUGUAUUUCUCAUUGAUCGAUGGUUUGUUCGCUGCUGCAAGAUCGAACUCAUUGAUCGAUGGAUUUUGUUGCUCAUUUGAUAGUUCUGGACUUCUCAUGUAGUUCGCAUCUACUUCAUACUCAUUUAGUUCAUAUUUGUUUAUUGUAGUACCUCUGCCUCUUGCCAAAUGAUACAAAGUGGGUAAUUCUUCGACGAUCAUAGUAAUACCAAGUGGCUAUAUGCUUUUUAUCUGUUAAACAUGUUUUAAGAGAAGAUUCAGGCGACGGUUGGAGGACUAGGGAAAGCGGUGCUCAUGAAGGGGACAGCAACAACGAUGGCCAUGGGGAAAGGGAGAGAGGCCGAGUUGGAGACAACGGCGACGACGGUGGCCGAAUCGGAGCACAUCACCAUCUCCUUCCUCCUGCAUCUUCCCACGUGAGUUCCUUUUUCCAAUAUCUUCCUCCGAUUUGGUUUCUUUUCUUUUUCCCUAUAAGGUUUGGGGUGUAGCCUGUAGAUUCUAACACCGAUGUGGGAGAGAGGCCACACACCUCCGCUGCACGGCUUCGAGCCCUGGCGUUGACUGUGGAGAUCGAAGGCGAGCCUCCAUCUUCGUUUUUCCACCCGCCAAACUGAGGCGGACCUGCAAGCAUGAGCUGCUUCUGCUGAUUCGUACGUGUGAUGUAGGUUCUAGAUGCCUAAUUCGUGGUUAUGAUGUUUCAGGAUGAGGGAGGACUCUACAUAGACCUGCAUUUUUAAGGAUUUUAUUAUUCAUAAUUACUUGAUUACUUUAUGAUUAUGUUCGAAUACUUGUA